AGAGUUUGAUUAUGGCUCAGGCUGUAUGCUGGCGGCGUGCCUAACACAUGCAAGUCGAGCGACCCUUAUAACAUGAGGUUUUCGGACGGAAUGUUAUCUGACUGACCGGCGGACGGGUGAGUAACGCGUGGGUAACCUGCCUUAUACAGGGGGAUAACAGUUAGAAAUGACUGCUAAUACCGCAUAAGCGCACAGUACCGCAUGGUGGUGUGUGAAAAACUCCGGUGGUAUAAGAUGGACCCGCGUCUGAUUAGCCAGUUGGCGGGGUAACGGCCCACCAAAGCGACGAUCAGUAGCCGACCUGAGAGGGUGACCGGCCACAUUGGGACUGAGACACGGCCCAAACUCCUACGGGAGGCAACAGUGGGGAAUAUUGCACAAUGGGGGAAACCCUGAUGCAGCAACGCCGCGUGAGUGAAGAAGUAUUUCGGUAUGUAAAGCUCUAUCAGCAGGGAAGAAGAUGACGGUACCUGAUUAAGAAGCCCCGGCUAACUACGUGCCAGCAGCCGCGGUAAUACGUAGGGGGCAAGCGUUAUCCGGAUUUACUGGGUGUAAAGGGAGCGCAGACGGUAGCGCAAGUCUGGAGUGAAAGCCCGGGGCCCAACCCCGGAACUGCUCUGGAAACUGUGCGGCUAGAGUACUGGAGGGGCAGGCGGAAUUCCUAGUGUAACGGAGACAUGCGUAUAUAUUAGGAGGAACACCAUUGAAGAAGGCGGCCUGCUGGACAGACCUGAUCUUGAGGUUCCAAAACGUGGGGAGUAAAAAGGAAUAAAUACCCUGGUAAUCCCCGCCCGU
rnacentral:rRNA from 1 species